AUCAAAUUUAAUUUAUAAAACAAUUUAAUUCUUUUAAUUUAUUAAAUAAAUUUAACACAUGAGUAAAUUCAUUGGACUUUGGACUAUGUAUUUAUUGACACACAUUUCAUGAUUUAUUUAUUACUUUUUAUAUUUAUCGACAAAAGAUUUAUUUAUUAUUAUAUGUCACUCUCAGUCCUCCAUACAUUUUGAUUUGUAAUUUAGAAAUUUGUAUUCUAAAAUCGAAAUGAAAGUGAAACGGAAUGCUCCCAUGAUGAAUGUUUUGCUUUUUUAUUCAUCGAUAUUAAGUAGAUCAUCUUAAUUUCAUUUUAAAGCUGCAUAUUUGGUGGUUUAGUGACUGUUUUGUGGAUGGGCUCUUUAGACCCGGUCUAAAAUGCAGCUCAGAAUUGUUCUUCACCGAUGAACUGAGCAGUCCUUCUGAUAUGCAGUUAUGGCUUGAAAUGAAAUGUAUCAGAUAAGCCAUGAAGAGAUUAUGUACGCUUUGAAAUGGCAUGUAAUUUACAGCAAAAUCUGAAGAUCUGGCAGGUCCAUAUCCCAUUUAGAGUGCUCUGAAACAUAUUGCUAGCAAGGUAUUUUUGAUAGAAGUACAAAAUCAGUGUUGUACAGCUUUUCUUUCCACACUACAGCAGGUUUUUUUUUUUUUUUGGUCUUACACAAACCGAGGCGUGCAGCUAGACCUGCGUCCCGUUUUAACCGCUUUGUACUUUCUGGAAUGGCUAAAAGGUGCUACAUAUUUCUUAGUGUUUGGUUUUUUCCUAAUGUAGCCUUGUAUCUACCGAAACUGCCUGACCGUUUAAAUGUGCCAAUGUCAUGAAAUUGUGUGGUCUCCGAGUAUUGUGCCAAAGAUGCAAACAGUAUUAACUUCUUUGUCAGUGAGAGUAGUUAGGAAAGCUUAACUGAAGUUAGCGUGGCUGCUAGUGCUCAACAAUGUGCUUCUUAAACCGUGUGCAGAGGCGUAGAUCAAGACUGCAUGGGGCAUGAGCAGUACAAAGCAAUAUAACCAGUGUAGUUUGCAGAGAGCGAUAGAAACAAACAUCAUCUAGUUCUGAGAUGACUUUUCCCAGCAGCCUGAUCCCAAAUCAGGUUAUGUCACCGCAGUCACUUCCAAACAAUAUUGGCUAGAUCAAAUCUGUUUUUAUUUCUCCUUUAAAUGUUAAAUCUGACAGAUCUUUUCGCAUAACUGUCAGAAAUUCAAUUUGGGACCUUAUUUGGACUCUAGGUUGUAGAUGAUAAACACAAAGUUUAGGAAAUGCUGUGUGGAAUCGAUGUUCACUUAUAUUGUUUUACCUUUCAUAAGUAUUUUUUUUAACAUUGCAUUUUCAAAAAAAAAAAAAAAAAGUAUUUUCUCAUUUUACGUGUUGUUUUUAUCAUGGAAACAUACUAAAAACAUUAAAACAUUAUUUUUCUUGCUAACAAAGCCAACAUGGAAAACGUAACUAUAUUACGAGGUGGCGAUUACAUUGGAAUUCAUACGAUGAAUUCGAAUCUUACGAAAACGUAUGAUUUUUGUAAAAAGUAAGCAUGAAGGUCCACUCUUAAACCUAACCGUCACUGGGUGUAAACGAAUCAUACGAAAACGUUCAAAUGAGAUCAAACUAAUUUAUACGAAUUAGCCACCAAUUUGUCAAAACGUAAAAUAGUAAAAAAAUAAAAAAUAAAAAUCCCAUGCGAAUGUGUUGCUACAUCUCUUCCACAUUUUGACAUAAAAUUGAUAGUAACAAACAGCUUUUUCACUGCCAGCAUGAAAGCCCACAAUUCUUUUAAUAAAUAUUUGAUAAAUUUAGUCGUUAAAAUGCAACUUCAAAACACGCAGCAGCCUUUGUGAAUCUCGGCUGUCAGUUUACAUUAUUGAUCAUGUGUAGACAAUUGAAAUGGUCUGUACUUGAUAAAAAUUGUUCUUGGCAAAAAUAUCCCCUGUGAUUGUAUUGUAUCAUUGUAUUUUUGUAGAUAAAUACAAAGUUCAAAGUGCUGUAUUUUUAGCAACCUAAAACAUUUGAAGUGUGAGGAAUUGAACUAAUGUUGGAAUGAUUAUAAAAUACUGACAGAUGGGCACUGUAACUGAUUUGUUUGUUACCUAUUUUAUUAACGGCUUUGCGACUAUGUUCUCAUAUUGCCAUGUUAUGAGAGUUGCUCAUUUUCGGCAAUCGUGUUUUGUAAUUUCGAUAGAUUGCCAAUGCUCAAGUCGUAGGACUUCAGCUCUAGUCACGCUUGUAUUUCUCCUCUCCUGUUCUCUCCUUUCACCCUCCUUUUUAUGGAUUAUACUCUUUCUGUUCAAUUUUUUGAACUUGUAAAGUUGUACUUUAUAUCAUACGAUGGGAUGGAAGUAUUCCAUAUAGCCUGUGUUACAGAUUUUGUACAAAAGGUGUUUAUAUGAAAAUGUGACCAGUUCAUAGCUUUGAAUGUUGCAACUAAAGUUUUUAUUUGUAAAUGUUGAAUAUUAACCAUCAAACAAAUAAAGGUUGAUUGAUGUAAA
ensembl:lncRNA